rnacentral:rRNA from 1 species
AGUGAACGCUGGCGGUAGGCCUAACACAUGCAAGUCGAACGGCAGCACAGGAGAGCUUGCUCUCUGGGUGGCGAGUGGCGGACGGGUGAGGAAUACAUCGGAAUCUACCUUUUCGUGGGGGAUAACGUAGGGAAACUUACGCUAAUACCGCAUACGACCUUCGGGUGAAAGCAGGGGACCUUCGGGCCUUGCGCGGAUAGAUGAGCCGAUGUCGGAUUAGCUAGUUGGCGGGGUAAAGGCCCACCAAGGCGACGAUCCGUAGCUGGUCUGAGAGGAUGAUCAGCCACACUGGAACUGAGACACGGUCCAGACUCCUACGGGAGGCAGCAAUGGGGAAUAUUGGACAAUGGGCGCAAGCCUGAUCCAGCCAUACCGCGUGGGUGAAGAAGGCCUUCGGGUUGUAAAGCCCUUUUGUUGGGAAAGAAAAGCAACCAGUUAAUACCUGGUUGUUCUGACGGUACCCAAAGAAUAAGCACCGGCUAACUUCGUGCCAGCAGCCGCAGUAA